rnacentral:tRNA from 1 species
GGGCUUAUAGUUUAAUUGGUUGAAACGUAUCGCUCAUAACGGUGAUAUUGUAGGUUCAAGCCCUACUAAGCCCA